rnacentral:rRNA from 1 species
CCUACGGGUGGCAGCAGUGGGGGAUAUUGCACAAUGGGCGCAAGCCUGAUGCAGCCAUGCCGCGUGUGUGAAGAAGGCCUUCGGGUUGUAAAGCACUUUCAGCGGGGAGGAAGGCGUUAAGGUUAAUAACCUUGGCGAUUGACGUUACCCGCAGAAGAAGCACCGGCUAACUCCGUGCCAGCAGCCGCGGUAAUACGGUGGGUGCAAGCGUUAAUCGGAAUUACUGGGCGUAAAGCGCACGCAGGCGGUCUGUCAAGUCGGAUGUGAAAUCCCCGGGCUCAACCUGGGAACUGCAUUCGAAACUGGCAGGCUAGAGUCUUGUAGAGGGGGGUAGAAUGCCAGGUGUAGCGGUGAAAUGCGUAGAGAUCUGGAGGAAUACCGGUGGCGAAGGCGGCCCCCUGGACAAAGACUGACGCUCAGGUGCGAAAGCGUGGGGAGCAAACAGGAUUAGAUACCCUGGUAGUC